rnacentral:rRNA from 1 species
AGUGAACGCUGGCGGUAGGCCUAACACAUGCAAGUCGAACGGCAGCACAGUAAGAGCUUGCUCUUACGGGUGGCGAGUGGCGGACGGGUGAGGAAUACAUCGGAAUCUACUUUUUCGUGGGGGAUAACGUAGGGAAAUUUACGCUAAUACCGCAUACGACCUACGGGUGAAAGCAGGGGAUCUUCGGACCUUGCGCGAUUGAAUGAGCCGAUGUGGGAUUAGCUAGUUGGCGGGGUAAAGGCCCACCAAGGCGACGAUCCGUAGCUGGUCUGAGAGGAUGAUCGGCCACACUGGAACUGAGACACGGUCCAUGCUCCUACGGGAGGCAGCAGUGGGGAAUAUUGGACAAUGGGCGCAAGCCUUAUCCAGCCAUACCGCGUGGGUGAAGAAGGCCUUCGGGUUGUAAAGCCCUUUUGUUGGGAAAGAAAAGCAGCAGGUUAAUACCCCGCUGUUCUGACGGUACCCAAAGAAUAAGCACCGGCUAACUUCGUG